rnacentral:rRNA from 1 species
GAUAAUUUAUCUCCGUGUUGUAGCUAACGCGUUAAGCACUCCGCCUGGGGACUACGGUCGCAAGACUAAAACUCAAAGGAAUUGACGGGGACCCGCACAAGCGGUGGAGCAUGUGGUUUAAUUCGAUGCAACGCGAAAAACCUUACCACUCCUUGACAUGGAGAUUAGAUCCUUCUUAACAGAAGGGCGCAGUUCGGCUGGAUCUCGCACAGGUGCUGCAUGGCUGUCGUCAGCUCGUGUCGUGAGAUGUUGGGUUAAGUCCCGCAACGAGCGUAACCCUCAUCCUUAGUUGCCAGCGGGUAAGCCGGGCACUUUAAGGAAACUGCCGGUGGUAAACCGGAGGAAGGUGGGGAUGAUGUCAAGUCAGCACGGCCCUUAUGGGGUGGGCUACACACGUGCUACAAUGGUGACUACAAUAGGUUGCAAUGUCGCAAGGCUGAGCUAAUCCGUAAAAGUCAUCUCAGUUCGGAUUGUCCUCUGCAACUCGAGGGCAUGAAGUCGGAAUCGCUAGUAAUCGUGGAUCAGCAUGCCACGGUGAAUACGUUCUCGGGUCUUGUACACACUGCCCGUCACGCCA